rnacentral:ncRNA from 1 species
GAAUAGGAAAAGCCUUUAGGUGCCCAGAAAGCUGGGAGAAUAGGGAAUCGGGUGCAAGUCCCGAACGGGCCCGCCACUGUAAAGAGGGAGUAAGUGCCAGUAUGUCACCUCGUAAAGAGGGAAGGCGGCAUAAGACGAUGAUCUUAAGUCAGGAGACCUGCCUAAAAUGAACCGGUCGA